rnacentral:lncRNA from 13 species
UGGAGAGUAGCUGUCAUAAGAGACUACGUCAUCUCACGCUAUUUUAAUGAUUAUGGCUCCACUGGAAGGAACACAAGGUGGAAAACUGGUUUAGUGCCUGGGCUCUGGUUCAAGUCAAAGUGAAGAUGAUGAGCAAGCACUGCUUUAAAAUUCAGUUAGGAGAUUACUGGUAACAGAUGAGAAAUUAUGUUUCAGAGAUCCUAAAACCAACACUGACAAUUCUGAAAACAAGUGAGAUGUCCUCAUUAAUCUAUAGCUUCAAGUUCAUGGGCUGAAUCAAUCCACUUGGGAAUCUUCUCUAGAAAGAAAGUUGUAGGUCCACUCUCUACCUGAAUGCAGCCCACUCUCAUCCCUGGAGUUAUUCCUUUAGUCUGGAUACACAGAGCCACAUUCUACUUGUGUAGAGGCUGCGACAGUAACCAACUCAUCCUGCCCUACUCACAUUACUGCAUCUUCAGGGAUUGGCAACCAUCAGCCAAGUCACUGGCUGCGGGGAAGAACCAGAAGCCACCUUGAACUAUGAUCUAAGACAGGGUGUUCAAUCUUUUGGCUUCCAUGGGCCACAGUGAAGGAAUUGUCUUGGGCUGCACAUAAAGUAUACUAACACUAACGAUAACUGAUGCACUUUAAAAAAUCACAAACACACAAAUCUCAUAAUGCUUUAAGAAAGUUUAUGAAUUUGUGUUGGGCCUCAUUCAAAGCCAUCCCAGGUUUUAUAUGGCCCUGGGCCACCAGUUGAAUAAUCUUGAUCUGUGAUAAAGUGGUUCUGGCCCUCAGCCUAAAUUUCUCUCAUUAGUGUUGGAAUGAGGUCAGGGCACACACUUUCAUGUUUUCUUCCUACAAAUUACUUGGAUGAGAAAUUUCCCUCUCAAAAUACUAAAAAACUGAAGAGGAAAACAGCUACUUCACCCUUAAUUCUGAUCAAAAAGAGAAAUUUGUGCACUAAAAGGC